rnacentral:rRNA from 1 species
GAAUAUUGGACAAUGGGCGAAAGCCUGCUCCAGCCACGCCGCGUGUUUGAAGAAGGUCUUCGGCUUGUAAAGCACUUUACGUUGGGAGGAAGGGCAGUGAUCGAAUACCUUGCUGUUUCGCCUUUCCCGACCGAAUAAGCACCCGCUAGCUCUGUGCCAGCAGCCGCGGUAAUACAGAGGGUGCAAGCGUUAAUCGGAAUUACUGGGCGUAAAGCGCGCGUAGGUGGUUAGGUAAGUUGGAUGUGAAAUCCCCGGGCUCAACCUGGGAACUGCAUCUAAAACUGGCGAGCUAGAGUAGGGGAGAGGGUGGUGGAAUUUCAUGUGUAGCGGUGAAAUGCGUAGAUAUAGGAAGGAACACCAGUGGCGAAGGCGACCACCUGGGCUCAUACUGACACUGAGGUGCGAAAGCGUGGGGAGCAAACAG